GCCAGACUCCUACGGGAGGCAGCAGUGAGGAAUAUUGGUCAAUGGACGGAAGUCUGAACCAGCCAUGCCGCGUGCAGGAAGACGGCUCUAUGAGUUGUAAACUGCUUUUGUACAAGGGUAAACCUGAAUACGUGUAUUCAGCUGAAAGUACUGUACGAAUAAGGAUCGGCUAACUCCGUGCCAGCAGCCGCGGUAAUACGGAGGAUCCGAGCGUUAUCCGGAUUUAUUGGGUUUAAAGGGAGCGUAGGCGGGUUGUUAAGUCAGUUGUGAAAGUUUGCGGCUCAACCGUAAAAUUGCAGUUGAUACUGGCAUCCUUGAGUACAGUAGAGGUAGGCGGAAUUCGUGGUGUAGCGGUGAAAUGCUUAGAUAUCACGAAGAACUCCGAUUGCGAAGGCAGCCUGCUGGACUGUAACUGACGCUGAUGCUCGAAAGUGUGGGUAUCAAACAGGAUUAGAUACCCCAGUA
rnacentral:rRNA from 1 species